GAUGAACGCUGGCGGCGUGCCUAAUACAUGCAAGUCGAGCGAACGGACGAGAAGCUUGCUUCUCUGAUGUUAGCGGCGGACGGGUGAGUAACACGUGGAUAACCUACCUAUAAGACUGGGAUAACUUCGGGAAACCGUAGCUAAUACCGGAUAAUAUUUUGAACCGCAUGGUUCAAAAGUGAAAGACGGUCUUGCUGUCACUUAUAGAUGGAUCCGCGCUGCAUUAGCUAGUUGGUAAGGUAACGGCUUACCAAGGCAACGAUGCAUAGCCGACCUGAGAGGGGGGUCGGUCACACUGGAACUGGGACACGGUCCGGACUCCUACGGGAGGCAGCAGUAGGGAAUCUUACGCAAAGGGCGAAAGCCUGACGGAGCAACGCCGCGUGAGUGAUGAAGGUCUUCGGAUCGUAAAACUCUGUUAUUAGGGAAGAACAUAUGUGUAAGGAACUGUGCACAUCUUGACGGUACCUAAUCAGAAAGCCACGGCUAGCUACGUG
rnacentral:rRNA from 1 species